rnacentral:rRNA from 1 species
GACGAACGCUGGCGGCGUGCUUAACACAUGCAAGUCGAACGGAGUGGCGAACGGGUGAGUAACACGUGGGUGAUCUGCCUUGCACUUCGGGAUAAGCUUGGGAAACUGGGGCUAAUACCGGAUAGUGCAAGAUGAGCUCGCGGCCUAUCAGCUUGGUGGUGGGGGAAUGGCCUACCAAGGCGUCGACGGGUAGCCGGCCGGCGCGGGGGUACGGCCACAGUGGGACUGAGAUACGGCCCAGACUCCUACGGGAGGCAGCAGGGGGGAGUAUUGCACAAUGGGGGGAAGCCUGAGGCGGCGACGCCGCGUUGGGGAAGGAGGCUUUCGGGUUGUAAACUCCUUUCGACAGGGACGCGGUACCUGUAUAAGAAGCACCGGCUAACUACGUGCCAGCAGCCGCGGUAAUAC